AGAGAGAGACAUGCGCGCAUAUCAAUAAGCGGAGGAAAAGAAACUAACAAGGAUUCCCCUAGUAACGGCGAGUGAAGCGGGAAGAGCUCAAAUUUGAAAUCUUAAAGGGUUUCCCUUUACGAAUUGUAGUUUAAAGAAGUGUUUUCUGUUGAGGUUUUGGUAAAAGUUCUUUGGAAUAGGACAUCAUAGAGGGUGAGAAUCCCGUAUUUGACCUUUACUUUCAACUUUGUGAUACACUUUCAAAGAGUCGGAUUGUUUGGGAAUGCAGUCCAAAAUGGGUGGUAAAUUUCAUCUAAAGCUAAAUAUUGGCGAGAGACCGAUAGCGAACAAGUACCGUGAGGGAAAGAUGAAAAGAACUUUGAAAAGAGAGUUAAACAGUACGUGAAAUUGUCAAAAGGGAAGCGUUUGACACCAGUGUUGUUUUUCUGAAAAUCAAUUAAAGAACUGUUUAUGCUAAGCAGUUUAGACUUUAUCAGCUAUCUGUUUAGUUUUGAGCUUUUCUUUAAUGCACUUUUCAGUUAACAAGUCAACAUCAAUUUCUUUUGCUGUAAAAAAGCUUGAGGAAGGUGGCUUGAGAUUCGUCUUAAGUGUUUAUAGCCUCUUGCCUAUGCAGUCGGAGAGAUUGAGGUCUGCAGCGUAGAUCCUUCGGGGCUAAAUGCAUUUGUGCUAAGUUAUAGCAUUUUAUAGACAACUUGUUGACUAUGAUUUGUCUUGUAGCUUACUCGCUUAUGUUAUUUUACCUACGCUUAGGAUGUUGACGCAUGAGAUAUACGC
rnacentral:rRNA from 1 species